rnacentral:rRNA from 1 species
UACGUAGGGGGCGAGCGUUGUCCGGAGUUACUGGCGUAAAGGGCACGCAGGCGGUGCGGCGCGUUUCGACCGUGACAGCGGAGGGCUUAACUCUCCGGAGGAUGCGAAAGACGGCGGCACUUGAGGGACCAGAGAGGGACACGGAAUUCCGGGAUGGAGUGGUGAAAUUCGUAGAUAUUCGCAAGAACACCAGUGGCGGAAGGCGGCU